UGCCCCAACAGUCUUAGAUUUUUAAAAAACAAUAAAAUAAUGUUUUGCUAAUAUAAUAAAGAAAAAAUGUGAAAAAAAACACAAACAUCCAGUAUUAGAUACAUAAAAAAACAGCCCACAUUCACUGAAUAUUUCCAUGUUCUAGCUAUUAUGCUAAGCACCUUACCUGCCCUCCUUCACCUCCCUGUUUCCUUGUGAGGUACAAAGUUCUAUUAUCUCUAUUUUUCAUUUUCUCCCUGUCAGGAACCAACAACUUAUCUAAGGAAGCUCCUCAUAGGGAAAAUGGAGAUUUGAACCCAGGUCCACUGGACCUUAGGUCCUGCCAUUUUAAAUUUCUCCAUUUGUACUGAGUAGUGGAGAAAAUUACAGAUACAAAAAUUUUUAAAUUCUGUGUGCAACUCAGCAACACAUUUGAAAAUCCUU